AAAAUUGGGGCGUUACAACGAUGAUGAGAAGUUUAACAUUCUUGUGUGGUGGAAGAAAAAUGAAGUAUGAUAUCCAGUUUUGGCAGCAAUGGUUACAGAUUGUUUGGCCACAUCGGUGUCAACUGUUGCUUCUGAAAGCGCAUUUAGCACUGGAGGAAGAGUUUUAGACACAUAUAGGAGUUCCUUGAGUCCGACAAUGGCUGAAGCUUUGAUAUGUUGUCAAAAUUGACUAAAACCUUUUUUCAUUGACUUCAAAGAUCUUAAUUUGAGUGAAGAGUAUCAGCUUUUAGAGAAUGUCGUUGAAGGUAACUUAGUAGCGUGUCUAUGAAUUUAUUGUGUAUUUGAUAUUGAGUAACAAAUUAAUUUAUUCUCUUUUAUUGCUUUGAAUGCAUUGUAGAAAUUGGACAAGUGUUAAGUGGUUCUGGAGUUGGUCUUGCUGGUGUUUCACCACCAGCAACUAGGCCUUCUGUUUAAUUCCACUAAAUGGUAUACUGUUUAUUAACUAUUCUUACUUUAUCAUACUUAGAGUAUUUGAUUUAUGUAAUACUAAUUAAGAGUAAUUUAAUGUCAUGCAAGAAUGACUUUUUUUGAUAUUUUGGAGUCAAAUAUGACUCAAUACUAAUGCACAACACAUACAUCUGCUUUUGAAUGAUAUGAAAUGUAACAUGCUUCAUUUUCUUGGCUCCAUUAUGAUUGUGGAGUGUGGACAUGGUUUGAUGUUGAUGGAACUGUUUCAACCGCUUGUUAAACUGAUUAAUGCUUAAUUAUUGGAUUAAGUUGAGAAGCUAUCAACCUAUGCCCAUGCCAUUAGAGAAGUAGAGAAUGAAGAGUUAUGAAGUAUUAUCUAUGUUUAUCAUAAAUGGUUGCUGCAAUUUAAUAAGUGGGAUUCUGGCUGUUAUAGACUUCUAGGGCUGCAGUUUAGCAUCAACUACAACAUUAUUCUCCAUGAUUCGCCAUGUUGUAGCAUCAACAAUUGCAAGCAGUCUGUGCUUUUAAAGCCAGUGGAAUUUAUUUCAUAUUUUACUCAAAUAUUGGAUGACUGUAAUAUAUUAUAAUACUUAUAAUGUUGAUACUGUUGGACAACUGUAAUAUUUACUAAUAUUGGCUGUGUUGUGCAAGUUUGCUGUUAGUCAAUGCAAACAAGUUAGUAUAAUUUAUAUUUGGAACAA